AAACAAAAUCCCACGCCCACCUGUGUAACUGCAGCAACUGUGAGGGGAAGAGGGAGGGGCCAGAUGUGCCACCUAACUCAGCGGGGGGGCCUCUCACAAGUCCUUGGGCUGGGCACUUUACACAGCUCACAACUGUUCUGUCCGUUACACUCCCUCCAGCUAGCACAUGGAGGUGACGGGGUGGUGCAGCUGAUGGGCUGGAUGUGGGAGGUGACAGACAGAAGCAGGAAGGAUGGGGUGGUCAGCAGCUCUGGGGUGUCUAGGCCUUGCCCAGGUCUAGUGCUACAAGUCCCACAUCCUUAGUGAAGGAUGAUGGCAUGUUCUCUGUCCGGGGAUGCUGGGAGCGAAGUGGUGUCAGCAUUCAUCCAAUUCUCUGCUGCCCCCAGCCGACUGUGAGCUCUGGGAGGACAAGAGCCCAGAAUAUUCCCUUCCCUGCUCCAUCCUCAGGGCCUGGAACCAGACUUUGCCCAUGUAAGUUUCUAGACAGUCUCUGCUACUGUGUGAAGACCGAAUAUGGGACAGUCAUCCCUGUCCCCCACACAGCUCCAACCGACAAUGGUGCUCAGGAAACAACAAACUGAA